UCAAGUAAGACUACCCGCUGA
rnacentral:rRNA from 1 species